rnacentral:rRNA from 1 species
UACGGAGGGUGCAAGCGUUAAUCGGAAUUACUGGGCGUAAAGCGCACGUAGUCGGCUUUGCAAGUCGGUUGUGAAAUCCCCGGGCUCAACCUGGGAACUGCAUCCGAGACUGCAUUGCUAGAGUAUGGGAGAGGAAAGCGGAAUUUCUGGUGUAGCAGUGAAAUGCGUAGAUAUCAGAAGGAACAUCAGUGGCGAAGGCGCUUUCUGGACCAAUACUGACGAUCAGGUGCGAAAGCGUGGGGAGCAAACAGG